rnacentral:rRNA from 1 species
ACGCGUGGAACCUUACCAGGUCUUGACAUCCCGCUGACCGGUCUGGAGACAGAUCUUCCCCUUCGGGGGCAGUGGUGACAGGUGGUGCAUGGUUGUCGUCAGCUCGUGUCGUGAGAUGUUGGGUUAAGUCCCGCAACGAGCGCAACCCUUGAUCUUAGUUGCCAGCAUUCAGUUGGGCACUCUAAGGUGACUGCCGGUGACAAACCGGAGGAAGGUGGGGAUGACGUCAAAUCAUCAUGCCCCUUAUGACCUGGGCUACACACGUGCUACAAUGGAUGGUACAAAGGGCUGCAAGACCGCGAGGUUUAGCCAAUCCCAUAAAACCAUUCUCAGUUCGGAUUGCAGGCUGCAACUCGCCUGCAUGAAGCUGGAAUCGCUAGUAAUCGCGGAUCAGCAUGCCGCGGUGAAUACGUUCCCGGGCCUUGCACUCACCGCCCGU